GAAGAAAUCAUGUCUGCUGUCUUGUGUGGGAUUGGCAUUUCCACAGUGAUAAUCACCAAAAUGUUAUGGGUUCCUCUUCAGAAGAUUAGAUUAGCAGAUUUGCCAUAAUCCUGCUAACAUGGAAACACUGCACAUGACAGAGGUUGUUUGGCAUCUCCAGUCUCCACCAGCUGGACCCCCUCACUGACAACCUGCUUGCCCACAGAGUCUGCUGGGGUUGGAGGGUGAUGAAACAUGGGUGCUGGUGAUCCCUCUAAACAUACACAUAAAAUCAGUGACGUUGCAUUCAACACCCGCUAGGUUAAGCAGGCAGCUCCUCAGAGGCUCUAUUCCUCCUUAACCCUUCGUUGCCAGUCCAGGAUGAGGAGGGGAAAGGAAUGAGGUGGGCUAAGGGGGCCUCCAGCUCUUUAAAGAUGGAUUGAUUCUCCUCAUGCAUGCUUGUACAGUA